AUGCCUGACACUCCGUGGCUGCUUCUGUCCUGGACGCACGCCUCCCGAGUGCACACACAUACACACAUAACCAGCUCUGUCCCCUCCAGACAUUCCAAGGAAAUCCUGCUGGGCCACAGACUGUGUGUGUGUGUGUGUGUGUGUGUGUGUCCACCCUGCACACAGCCCUGUGUGCACACACAGGGCACACACAUCCCUCCCCACGUGCACAUAGCGCCCCACCAGCUAACACGCCCACCCCCCUGUCCCCCAGCUUUUGCCAGUUGCUGGAGUCCACACAUGCAAACACACACACACACACACACACACACACACACACACACACACGCAGCCCGGCAGUGGCCCUGGCCCUGCCAGAGCUGCAGUCUAUGCCGGUCUCCGCCGCUUCCCAGGGCUGCCUCCCCGCUUGCCCCGCACCAGCACCACGGAGAAGGGGGCAAAGCCUUUGCGGGGUCCCCACCCAGCCAGGGGACCCCACUCCCCGGAUCUGGCCCUUACCAAACCCAUCGCCCUCCUGCGGGUAAAGGGGGUAAAGCCCCACCCUGCCCCCUCCCCCCUGGAGCAGCGGCGAUCAAACCCCCCUCACCGGCUACGAAGAUGAAUUCCUCGGGCCGGCAGCCCCCCGUGAGAGAGGGGGACGAGGGCCCCGAUUCGCAAGGAUGGGGGCUGAGAGGUGCGCCGUGGCUCUGCCCGGAACAGCCGUCCACCCUCGAGCCUCUGCACCAGCCCCCGAGAAUGCUCACCUCACCGGCCGUCCUCCGCGUCCUCCCGCCCGCCUCCGCCCACCGCCCCCGGCACCCUCCCGCGCACGGGGUCCCGGGGGGCUCGCGGUGGUCCCCGGACCGGGAGCCCCUGCGGGCGGCUUUCCCGGCCUCAUCCUCCGCCGCCCCCGGCUGUGGCCCCCGCAGGCCCACCCCCACCGGCGGACCGGGUGCCCCUCGGCCCCAGCGCUCACUCCCUCCGCCGCGGCCGGACUCACUCACCUCCAGCCCGGCCGGGAUCCGGGCCGAGCGCCGCUUCCGGAGGCGGCGGCGGCUGCGGGGCCUGCGCGCGAGUGUGAGUGUGAGUGAGUGUGAGCGCGGGCGCGGGUGCGGGUGUGCGCGGCGUGGCCCGCGUGUGCGUGUGUGUGUGUCUGCGAGCCCGCGUGUGCGCGCAGACGCCCCCGCCCCCGCCCGGCCCGGGCCGCCGCCGCCGGGGUGGGAGCGCAGCGUGCGUCAGGGGCCGCGGCCCGCGGUCUGUCCGUCCGUCCGUCCGCAGGCGCGUCCGCAGCGAGACCCCGCCCGCCCCCCUCCCCCGGCCCGAUCCUUCCACAGACACGCGCGCACGCAGACACGCGGCCGCGGGGCGGGGGCCCGCCCGGCUCCAACGCCGCAGCUGCAGCGCCCGGGGAGGCGGCGGCGGCGGCCGCGGGGAGCGCCGAGCCCCGGCCCCGCCCGGCCCCCCGCCCCGCUCACCCCGCGGGCUCCGGGUCCCGCCGCCGCCGUCGCCGUCGCCGUCGCCGUCGCGGGCGCAUUCAACAGCUGGAGGCAAACUUGCCGCGGGGCGAGCCGCCCGGCGCGCAGCGCCCCCCAGCGCCCGCCCGGGGACGCCCGCGGCCCCCCGACUCCCCCUGGGCGGCUGGACCCCUCCUCACCUCGUCCCGGCGCCCCGCCGAGCUCCGCGCUCCACCGCGGGCAACCCGCCAAGUGCGGCCGCUGCGUUCCCAUUUGA
rnacentral:lncRNA from 1 species